rnacentral:rRNA from 1 species
GACAGAGGGGGCAAGCGUUGCUCGGAAUUACUGGGCGUAAAGGGUGCGUAGGUGGCGCGUUAAGUCCGUUGUGAAAUCCCUUGGCUCAACCAAGGAAAUGCUUCGGAUACUGGCGUGCUUGAGGCUAGUAGGGGUCACUGGAACUGACGGUGGAGCGGUGAAAUGCGUAGAUAUCGUCAGGAACGCCGAUGGUGAAGACAGGUGACUGGGCUAGUUCUGACACUGAGGCACGAAAGCGUGGGGAGCGAACGGG